rnacentral:rRNA from 1 species
GAUGAACGCUGACAGAAUGCUUAACACAUGCAAGUCUUUGGCAAAUCUGUGCUUGCACAGCAUAGCCAAGGCGGACGGGUGAGUAACGCGUAAAGAACUUGCCCUGCAGUCUGGGAUAACAGACGGAAACGACUGAUAAAACCUGAUAUAAUCAAGCCCACGCAUGUGGUGCUUGAUGAAAAGAAAUGCUGCAGGAGAGCUUUGCGUCCUAUUAGCUUGUUGGUGGGGUAAUGGCCCACCAAGGCAAUGAUAGGUAGCCGGCCUGAGAGGGUGACCGGCCACAAGGGGACUGAGAUACGGCCCUUACUCCUACGGGAGGCAGCAGUGGGGAAUAUUGGACAAUGGGGGCAACCCUGAUCCAGCAAUUCUGUGUGCACGAAGAAGGUUUUCGGAUUGUAAAGUGCUUUCAGCAGGGAAGAAGAAAAUGACUGUACCUGCAGAGAAGCG